rnacentral:tRNA from 1 species
GGUGGCUCAGCGGUAGAGUGCUUGCCUUGCAUGCAUGACGCCCUGGGUUCGAUUCCUCAGCACCA